rnacentral:lncRNA from 1 species
CUGCUUUUCUUACUGCUUUUGAUAAAACUCAUAAGCGAACUCCGAGUGACAGCUGCUUUCUUUGCCUCAUCCUGCUCCCUGUAGCUACCUCUGUGCCUCCGUCCCACAGUUAGAUGCAACAUCCCUGAUUUCCAGGAUCAGCUUAGUUCAUGCCAUUGACCCUUGAUUUUUUUGGUCUAUUCCCAUGUUCACCAGGAAGAGAAGCAUGAGGUUACAUCUGUAAUCUCCCUGCAGCAGAGUCAACUGCAUAAGAAACCAAAAGACACACCUGCUCCAUGCCAGCUUCGAUAAUUUCUUUGUACCUUCGGCGAAAGAAGCCCAUCUGAAAGGCAGAAAGAAAGAGGAGAAGCUGAGUUAGAAGUGCUGAAGAAUCAGCCAUUGUGACCCCAAGGCAGUCUGUCCCUGGGUAGGUGUGACCUGCACUCACAGGGCUGGGGAGGCUUGGAGGACCCCUCGGAUUAGAGAAAACACUGGCAAGAAAAACAUCCGGUGGAGACAUUUUUCAAAAUGCAUGGACUUCCUGCGGGUGAUAUUAGGCUUCUUCACUGUGAGCCAAACAUCCAGGGAAGCAUCACAGCCACCCUGAUGGUCAUAAGCUCCCCUGAAGAAGGGAAGGCAGGUGGACCUGAGGAGCUGUCUGUUGCCACCAUCUUUCUACUUCCCUAAAGGGGGCUUAUUGGCCAAGCCAAAGACGAGAACUGUCAAGAGAGCCAGCAGGUAUCUUCACCCACGUUGCCAAGGAGAUCCUGAGCAUUCACUGUGAGGGGAAGUCGAUAAGGUGGUGCAGUUUGAAUGACUGGGAAAGAGCAGAAGCUUUCUUAGAACAACUGGCAAGAGUCUUGUGUUCUGAGCUUCAAUCCUCAAGGCCAGUUUUGUAAACAGAUAUUGAGUUCCUGGUGAUUUCAGCCCUGGAGGUUUCUUCCCAGCAUAAGACCACAUUCAUCAGAAUGCCACGUUCUGACGCCCCCACACAUAUACUUUUCUCUCCUGAAACCUCUUCACCUUCUCCCCUCUGCAAGAGAUGUGGAAAAGGUGCUUGGCCAGAAUUUUCUGGAUAAUUAAGAAAAAGUCAUAGACAUCAUCCCCACAGCACACCCACAGAAGGCCAGAAAAACGGACCAAGACUGAAUGGAAAUCUAAGAAGCUACUGCUUGAAAUGUCAUUCUUUUGCGAUAAAGGUGUGGUUGGCCAAGAAAACAUGACCAGAUGUGGCUGGUCACAUGCCAUGAAGGAGAAUGUAAUCAUGAAACUGUGGAAGGAUGUAACAGGGAAAUAAGAUUCUCUAGCACAUACCUUUGGCUGCUGAUGUUGUAAUGUGUCAAUAAUCCCAGGUCACUCAGUUGUAAUUCCAGAGAAGUCACAUUUCCCUACCAUGGCACUAUCAAGCAGAAACUUAACAGUCUGCCCUCUUAUUAUCUCCUGCAUUUGUCUUAGGACUCCUUGAAGGCAGGCUUUGUGCUUUCAAUCCCCAGUACUCAGCAUCUCACCUGUCCUUGGUACCAGCGAUAAAUUGCAAAGAUGCCCACAUACCCUCCACACCCUUUACCAUGUGACUCUCCAGCUCUUCCCAUCAUGAGGUGGAGUC